rnacentral:rRNA from 1 species
UAAGAUUAUAUUUAAGGUAAUGCCUGCCCAGUGCUAAAGUGUUAACGGCCGCAGUACCUUGACUGUGCUAAGGUAGCAUAAUCAGUUGGCUUUUAAAUGGAGUCGGGAAUGAAUGGAUUUAUAGGGUAAAGCUGUCUCUUUUAUAUUUUAUUGAAUUUAAUUAUUAGGUGAAAAUACCUAAAAUUAAGAAAAAAGACGAGAAGACCCUAGGAGUUUUUACUAAUGGUCAAUUUAAGUUGCUUCUGGUUUUUGUUGGGGCGACAUAGGAACAAACAACUUCCUUAUUUUAUAGGCCGACUACGUAUGAAUAAUAAAACUACCCUAGGGAUAACAGCGUAAUUCUUUAUGGAGCUUGCGACCUCGAUGUUGGACUAGGAAUUUGAUUGGCUAGCCGCCACUUUAUAUUGUUCUGUUCGAACUUAAUUUCCUACAU